UACGUAGGGUGCGAGCGUUAAUCGGAAUUACUGGGCGUAAAGCGUGCGUAGGCGGUUCGUCAAGUCUGAUGUGAAAGCCCCGGGCUCAACCUGGGAACUGCAUUGGAAACUAGCGAGCUUGAGUGUGGCAGAGGGGGGUGGAAUUCCACGUGUAGCAGUGAAAUGCGUAGAGAUGUGGAGGAACACCGAUGGCGAAGGCAGCCCCCUGGGCUGAGAUUGACGCUCAGGCACGAAAGCGUGGGGAGCAAACAGG
rnacentral:rRNA from 1 species